rnacentral:rRNA from 1 species
CAGCGCCACGAGUGGCAUACACAUUUAUUGGGCCUAAAGCGUCCGUAGCCGGUUUGGUAAAUCUUUUGUGAAAUCAUGGGGCUUAACUCCAUGGCGUGCAGAAGACACUGCUGAACUUGGAACCGGGAGGAGUCAGAAGUAUUCUGGGGGGAGCGGUAAAAUGUUAUAAUCCCCGGAGGACUACCUGUGGCGAAGGCGUCUGACUAGAACGGAUUCGACGGUGAGGGACGAAGGCCAGGGGAGCGAACCGGAUUAGAUACCCGAGUAGUCC